CUCACAGGCAAGUAUGGCAUGACGGAUUUUUUGGCCAGGAGUUGCCCGGCUAACCUUGGAGCUGGAGUGUGUUGCUGCGCAGACCAUGAUAAUGCAUCAGCCAGAAGCCGCUCCAUACUUUCGUUGGCCUGUCUUGGACUCAGGGCAGAUACGAGGUAUACUGCGUCAUCAGCGUACGUUGCUAGCAUUUGGGUUGCGUUUGCGUGUCUUGGUGGCUGCGGCAUGUCAGCAG
rnacentral:sRNA from 1 species